AUUGAACGCUGGCGGCGUGCUUAACACAUGCAAGUCGAGCGAGCGGCGGACGGGUGAGUAAUGUCUGGGAAACUUCCUGUUGGGGGGGGAUAACUACUGGAAACGGUAGCUAAUACCGCCUACCCUCAGAUUUGCCUAGAUGGGAUUGGCGAGUAGGUGGGGGACUGGCUCACCUAGGCGACGAUCCCUAGCUGGUCUGAUAGGAUGACCAGCCAAACUGGACCUGAGACAGGGUCCAGACGCCACCGGGAGGAAGCAGUGGGGAACAUUGCACAAUGGGCGCAAGCCGAAUGCGGCAAGGCCGGGGGUGGAAAGAAGGCCUUCGGGUUGUAAAGCACUUUCAGCGAGGCGACGUUACUCGCAGAAGAAGCACCGGCUAACUCCGUGCCAGCAGCCGCGGUAAUAC
rnacentral:rRNA from 1 species